rnacentral:rRNA from 1 species
UACGGAGGGGGCUAGCGUUGUUCGGAAUUACUGGGCGUAAAGCGCACGUAGGCGGAUCAGUCAGUUAGGGGUGAAAGCCCAGGGCUCAACCCUGGAACUGCCUUUAAUACUGCUGGUCUGGAGGUCGAGAGAGGUGAGUGGAAUUCCGAGUGCAGAGGUGAAAUUCGUAGAUAUUCGGAGGAACACCAGUGGCGAAGGCGGCUCACUGGCUCGAUACUGACGCUGAGGUGCGAAAGCGUGGGGAGCAAACAGG